rnacentral:tRNA from 8 species
CGCGGGGUGGAGCAGUUUGGCAGCUCGUCGGGCUCAUAACCCGAAGGUCGCAGGUUCAAAUCCUGCCCCCGCAACCA